rnacentral:rRNA from 1 species
UGAGGAAUAUUGGUCAAUGGACGGAAGUCUGAACCAGCCAAGUAGCGUGCAGGAUGACGGCCCUAUGGGUUGUAAACUGCUUUUAUACGGGGAUAAAGUUAGGGACGUGUCCCUAUUUGCAGGUACCGUAUGAAUAAGGACCGGCUAAUUCCGUUCCAGCAGCCGCGGUAAUACGGAAGGUCCGGGCGUUAUCCGGAUUUAUUGGGUUUAAAGGGAGCGUAGGCCGUAGAUUAAGUGUGUUGUGAAAUGUAGACGCUCAACGUCUGACUUGCAGCGCAUACUGGUUUACUUGAGUUUGCACAACGUUGGCGGAAUUCGUCGUGUAGCGGUGAAAUGCUUAGAUCUGCCGAAGAACUCCGCUUGCGAAGUCAGCUUGCGGGAGCAAAACUGACGCUGAAGCUCGAAAGUGCGGGUAUCGAACAGG